rnacentral:lncRNA from 1 species
CGACAGGGCUGUUUGGAGCCCAAACCCUCUCCUCUAAUCAUGAAGGCACACGGAGAUGGCACUUCACUGCCCGGUGCCUCCCCAGCUCAGCCACAGCCGGAGAAAAUCCAAUUGGAGCUGUGAUGCAUGGAGGGGUGAUGCACCUGGCCUGGCUUUCCCAGUGCUUCAGUGCCCCUGCAUGCUGCUGGUGCUUCAGGGUUUGCUGGUGGCUGUAUGCUGGCCUUCAGGCCUUCUUCCUAGCAGGGAGAGCUGGUUGAGAGCUGGUUUGUUGGGAUAUGAAGCUCUUGGAUAAGUCCCCUGACUAGAAUUAUUUUGAAAAGGAUGCAUACAGAUCGCUGUGCGCAAUGCCAGGCGAUGGCUGCAAAGGGACAGCUCUGGAAACGUGGUUUUCAUUUACCCCCAAAGGAUGCCCACAUUGGGAAGGCACUGGAUGGAGAAAAAGCCCAUGCUGUGGUGGCUCCCAGCAGGCUCAGCUCCCACGGAGGCAAUGUCACCCACCCUACCUCGCUUCUCUAUUGUCUCUGCUGAUGCCUGGAAUUUGGUGCUGUUGCGGGAUGCUGCUCCCCAUCCUCUUGCUGGGUGUGGGUUGGGCAAAGUUACACCUUUCCACUUCUCAUCUCCCAGGCAGCAUCCCUGCACCUGGAGCCACCUGUAGGGCAUCAAUAGUAAAAUCCAGAGGGAAUGCUGGGGAUGCUACUGGGGAAGUAUAAAAGCUUUAUUUCCAUUGCUCAUCUUGGGACAAAACCAAUUACUUAAACCCAAACCCAUUAUGCUCACUAAAAUCACAUGAUUGAUGGUCUUUUGGUUGGACAGAUGCAACCUUCAUGAAUCUUAAGGGACGUGGUUUAGUGGGCACGGUAGUGAUGGGGUGACGGUUGGUCUGGAGGGCUAUAGAGCUUUUUUUCAACCUUAAUGGUUCUAUGGUUCUAUCAACAUCUUGGUGUCAUUUCUGGGAAUGAGAAAAGUGCUGUGUUGUUGAGGCACUGAAUUUUAUCCACUGAAGUGAAUAAAAAUAACACUUCCGGGGCA